rnacentral:rRNA from 1 species
AGGACGAACGCUGGCGGCGUGCUUAACACAUGCAAGUCGAGCGGAAAGGCCUUUCGGGGUACUCGAGCGGCGAACGGGUGAGUAACACGUGAGUAAUCUGCCCAUCGCUUCAGGAUAGCCAUCGGAAACGGUGAUUAAUACUGGAUAUGACAUUCCUUCGCAUGUUGGGGUGUGGAAAGUUUUUUCGGCGGUGGAUGUGCUCGCGCUACUCAG